CCCUUAGAUGUCCGGGGCCGCACGCGCGCUACACUGAAGGAAUCAGCGUGGCUUUCUCCCUGACCCGAAAGGGUUGGGAAACCCGUUGAAUCUCCUUCGUGAUAGGGAUUGGGGCUUGAAAUUGUUCCCCAUGAACGAGGAAUUCCCAGUAAGCGCGAGUCAUCAGCUCGCGUUGAUUACGUCCCUGCCCUUUGUACACACCGCCCGUCGCUCCUACCGAUUGAGUGCUCCGGUGAACAAUUUGGACUGCUUUGAUUCGAUUAGAAUUUGAAGCGGAAAGUUUAGUGAACCUUAUCACUUAGAGGAAGGAGAAGUCGUAACA
rnacentral:rRNA from 1 species